rnacentral:rRNA from 1 species
UGCGUAGGCGGUACGUUAAGUCAGUGGUGAAAUCCUUCCGCUCAACGGGAGAACUGCCAUUGAUACUGGCAUACUUGAGUAUGGACGAGGUAGGCGGAAUUUAUGGUGUAGCGGUGAAAUGCAUAGAUACCAUAAAGAACACCGAUAGUGAAGACAGCUUACUAGACCAUAACUGACGCUGAGGCACGAAAGCGUGGGGAGCGAACAGGAUUAGAUACCCUGGUAGUCC